AAACGUUCAACUCGCUACAUUGCGAGCCGCAUUUCGAUUUAAGCCAAGGAACGGGGACUUAAA
ncrna:unclassified sequences Glutamine-II riboswitch (downstream peptide RNA)